GUGUCAGCAGCCGCGGUAAUACGUAGGGGGCGAGCGUUGUCCGGAAUUACUGGGCGUAAAGGGUGCGUAGGCGGCCCUUUAAGUCGGAUGUGAAAGCCCGCGGCUUAACCGCGGAAUGGCAUUCGAAACUGGAGGGCUUGAGUGUCGGAGAGGGUAGUGGAAUUCCCAGUGUAGCGGUGAAAUGCGUAGAGAUUGGGAGGAACACCAGUGGCGAAGGCGGCUUUCUGGACGACAACUGACGCUGAGGCGCGAAAGCGUGGGGAGCAAACAGGAUUAGAUACCCUGGUAGUCCUAGCCGUAAACGAUGGGUACUAGGUGUAGGUGGUUUCGAUACCAUCUGUGCCGCAGUUAACGCAAUAAGUACCCCGCCUGGGGAGUACGUGCGCAAGCAUGAAACUUAAAUGAAUUGACGG
rnacentral:rRNA from 1 species